rnacentral:rRNA from 1 species
UACUCCUAUCGGGAGGCAGCAGUGGGGAAUUUUGGACAAUGGGCGCAAGCCUGAUCCAGCAAUGCCGCGUGCAGGACGAAGGCCUUCGGGUUGUAAACUGCUUUUGUACGGAACGAAACGGUCUUUUCUAAUACAAGAGGCUAAUGACGGUACCGUAAGAAUAAGCACCGGCUAACUACGUGCCAGCAGCCGCGGUAAUACGUAGGGUGCGAGCGUUAAUCGGAAUUACUGGGCGUAAAGCGUGCGCAGGCGGUUAUAUAAGACAGUUGUGAAAUCCCCGGGCUUAACCUGGGAACUGCAUCUGUGACUGUAUAGCUAGAGUACGGCAGAGGGGGAUGGAAUUCCGCGUGUAGCAGUGAAAUGCGUAGAUAUGCGGAGGAACACCGAUGGCGAAGGCAAUCCCCUGGGCCUGUACUGACGCUCAUGCACGAAAGCGUGGGGAGCAAACAGGAUUAGAUACCCUGGUAGUCCACGCCCUAAACGAUGUCAACUGGUUGUUGGGUCUUCACUGACUCAGUAACGAAGCUAACGCGUGAAGUUGACCGCCUGGGAGACGGCA